GACGAACGCUGGCGGCGUGCUUAACACAUGCAAGUCGAACGGAAAGGCCCUGCUUUUGUGGGGUGCUCGAGUGGCGAACGGGUGAGUAACACGUGAGUAACCUGCCCUUGACUUUGGGAUAACUCCAGGAAACUGGGGCUAAUACCGGAUAGGAGCUCCUGCUGCAUGGUGGGGGUUGGAAAGUUUCGGCGGUUGGGGAUGGACUCGCGGCUUAUCCGCUUGUUGGUGGGGUAGUGGCUUACCAAGGCUUUGACGGGUAGCCGGCCUGAGAGGGUGACCGGCCACAUUGGGACUGAGAUACGGCCCAGACUCCUACGGGAGGCAGCAGUGGGGAAUAUUGCACAAUGGGCGGAAGCCUGAUGCAGCAACGCCGCGUGCGGGAUGACGGCCUUCGGGUUGUAAACCGCUUUCGCCUGUGACGAAGCGUGAGUGACGGUAAUGGGUAAAGAAGCACCGGCUAACUACGUG
rnacentral:rRNA from 1 species